UAACACAUUUUGCAAAUGAGAGAAAGUGGAAAACCAACAGAGCUACACUGUUCUACAUGUGACAGAUGCAACACUCGGAUGCUGGAAACAAAAACCAUAUAAAGCUGUUUUGGCUCACAGUUAUCUGGCAGACGCAGAACAACAUUAGCAUCCGAAUGAAGACGUGUUUCUGUCCACCUGAUGAAUAGUCUGCCUGGGUUGUUGGAGCGGUUGAAUCCAGUUGUCUGUCAGCGGAGGAAAAUCAUCAGGUUGCCAACUUUCCAUGGCGCCUCAACAACGAAGCUGUCGGAUUCAGACAGCCACCAAAUCUGACUGCAGAUAAACAACUGUUCACGGCUGCGACAUCUCAGGGAGGAAAUCAUUCUGUGCUGAGGAACAAUGGGUUAAAUUUGCACCCCGAUUAAUGAGUUUUACUUCAAAUGUGUCGUACUUUAAUAAAGAGGUUUUCAAACUGUGAGGUAGAGUUGAAUCCUGAAUCGUGAGUCAUGACUCUGGACACGCUGACAUGAUGCACAUAUUUUUAGAUCCAUACUUCCACAGCCUGAGGAUAUCAUCUCUGGUGUCUUUCACAAGUAACAUCC
rnacentral:lncRNA from 1 species